rnacentral:rRNA from 1 species
AGAGUUUGAUUAUGGCUCAGGAUGAACGCUGGCGGCGUGCCUAACACAUGCAAGUCGAGCGAUUCUCUUCGGAGAAGAGCGGCGGACGGGUGAGUAACGCGUGGGUAACCUGCCCUAUACACACGGAUAACGUACCGAAAGGUACGCUAAUACGAGAUAAUAUGCUUUAGUCGCAUGGCUGAAGUAUCAAAGCUCCGGCGGUAUAGGAUGGACCCGCGUCUGAUUAGCUAGUUGGUAAGGUAAUGGCUUACCAAGGCGACGAUCAGUAGCCGACCUGAGAGGGUGAUCGGCCACAUUGGAACUGAGACACGGUCCAAACUCCUACGGGAGGCAGCAGUGGGGAAUAUUGCACAAUGGGCGAAAGCCUGAUGCCAGCAACGCCGCGUGAGCGAUGAAGGCCUUCGGGUCGUAAAGCUCUGUCCUCAAGGAAGAUAAUGACGGUACUUGAGGAGGAAGCCCCGGCUAACUACGUGCCAGCCGCGGC